ACGAGACCUAUUCUGUAUUUCGUCAUCCGUGUGACUACGAGGAGUCUCAGUGUCCUGGUUAUCCGAAACCGCCCUAUCGCCCCGGCGGACCACCAAUCGCUGGGUGUUUCUGCAAUGAAGGAUUGUUACGUCACAAUGGUCAGUGUAUUUCACCUGGUGAUUGCCCGUCCUGUGAUGUGGUCAAUUGCUUUGUGGAUCCAUGUCUGUUGGCGACUUGCGGAGCCUCUCCUAAUGCUCGAUGCAUGUCCAACUACUGCGGAGGAUGCAAUUUCAUCUUCUACGACUCUCAAUGUCAUGAAGUCCAGUGUGACGGAAAGCCAACUUAUUAAACAACCAUUAUAUACCGUGGUAUCAAGAUCUACACGUUACGCGAUGGUUUCUGAAUCCUGUCAUUCCCCUCCACUCCACUGUGUGACAGGAACUAACCGGUUCGCGUUGGCAAUGGUUUACGGGAUCGGAGGUUUUUGGUUAAACAAAGAUAUUAACUAAACAUAAUGUCUGUAUAAUGAUUGUAACUGCCUGUAUUUCUGUUGUUUAUAAAUUAAAUUUAGUUGAUCUUUUAGGCGUGAUAAACACGAGUUCACGUAAAACACUAUAAAAAAAGACAUCAUGAUACUUCCAAAGCACUUAUUUGGAUAUAAAUGUCAUUGAAACAUUUAAUUUUCAUUAUUUCGACUUUCAUCGUUGCUAUCAUAAGUAAACAUUUUCAAACGAAUUUUCUGUUGCCAUUUAUGAAUGAAUAAUUUGUGGUCGUUGGGCAAACAUAUUGCUCUACGUCUUCAUUUCAAUUACAAACUAACGAAAUCAUCACUCCUUUUUAAACAGUUUAAGAAGUAUCUAUAUCCUGCACUUUGAAAUGAAUGAAAUUAAAUGACAUCAGUCGCACGGUAGGCCUAAAAUUAA